UGGGCAACCUGCCCCAGACUCAGGGAUAACCCCGGGGAAACCGGGGCUAAUACCCGAUACUCCGGUCGAACCACAUGGCUCGAUCGGGAAAGCUCUGACGGUCUGGGAUGGGCCCGCGGCCUAUCAGCUUGUUGGUGGGGUAACGGCCUACCAAGGCGACGACGGGUAGCCGGCCUGAGAGGGUGACCGGCCACACUGGGACUGAGACACGGCACAGACUCCUACGGGAG
rnacentral:rRNA from 1 species